rnacentral:lncRNA from 1 species
UCACAUUUAACAAGGGAAGCAACUAGAUUUUGAAAAAAGCGGAAAUAUUUUUAUGAUGUUCAAUUCCGGAGGAAAAUCAGAUUUAAUUAAGAGUUGGCUGCAUGAUGUGUCAGUCAUGUAACCGGCAUAUUCAUCUAUGUGCAGAAGUGAUGGCUGAAUACAGAAUUAUUUAUUAGUUGGACAACAGUGAAUACAGGUCACAGCAUGCUGAUAGAGAUCCUCAGCUCAUAUGGUAGCCAGGGUUUAGCAGUGAGCUGACUCAAAAGAUGCCAUUUAGUGAUUUAAUGUGGAUAAUCCAUUCAGAUCAUUCACCAAUGAUGUACAACACUGAUGGAACUGAAGGCAAUACUUGCACUGAUGGUCAGGGCUGGUUAUUUAAAGUAUAUAUAAUUAGAUGUACCUCCUUAAAUACGAGAUUUCUGCCAUGUGAAAGGAGCAAGUUGAAAGACACACUGUUGGAGAUGGGGUCCAUGAACCUUAUGUAUACAGCUAUAUGAACAAGUGCUGGAACAAAGCAGACAAGACUGGACUUUUAAUUGUUAAUGAAUGUUUUAAGUUGUAUGUCGCCAGUAUAAUAGGGUUAUUAUAAAAGUAGUUAGAUCUUGGAUGUGGUAUUUGGCUUGGAGUGCAUUUUGCCAGCCCUGGAACACACGAGGCCUGCAAGCGCAAAGUCUGACCCGCUGUGGUAAAAUCGCCAAAGGCCUAAUACAACCUCCCAGAUCAAGCUACUGUUAUAAUCGUACUUUAAUUUUUUAUCUCCAUGUACUAAAAAUCAUUUCACAAAAAUACCCUAACGUUACAGGUGAUAUAUUAAAUUUGGUAUGCCUUUAAAGUUUAAAUUCAUGUUGUUGUUCUUGUUUAUACACAAUUGAUUACCGUGCCUUGUUUACAUGUGGGAUUUAUUGUUUGAAAGCGAAAUAAAAAUGUUUAAAAUGAAUAAGAAAAUGUCAUCAAAAGCUUGCACUUUUAUGUCAAGGGAGUAGUGACAGGAAAUUUUCCUUUUUUUUGUAGCUCAACCUGAUCACAAAGUGCUCGGGGGUGAGUAAUUGUUAUCACUCAUUGCAUGUCUGUCCGCCCGUCCAUACUUUUCUUAACCUACAUCUCUUAAAUCAUUUGGUGGCAGGCAGAUGAUGAAACUUGGCUUGGAUGUCCUCUGGAUAUUCCUGCCUUUGCCUAGGGAAAAACCUUGUUUAAAGUAUCGUGCACUUAGGUGACGUCACAUAGUACUGUAACUAUUAUGACGUCAUAAACUGUAUAAAUUUUGUCAGGAAAACACAGAUCUAUUUGCCUCCGAGAUCUAAUUUUAAUGUGAUGGGCAAGAAAAACUAUCCAACAUGUCUGCAUGUCAGUGAUUUUCAGUGAAGUUCUAUUGAUUUGUUAUAUUUUAUCUUGUUUAUACUACUUGCUGUAAACAAUUAGGCUGAAUUUCACCAAAUCUCGCAAGUGAUUAGUGUGGAGCAAAGUUGUGCAUAUUAUCUUCAUUUUCUAAUAAAUAAUUUUUAUUAGAGUCAUGACCCUUGAUUUGUCAGAAUCUUUGAUCUGUGCUACUUCUCCUAUAUCACUGGUUGGAAUUCCAAAAUACUUAAGGAUACACUAAGGGUUAAAAUGGCAUUUUCAGACAUUUUUUGUUUUUAUUUUAUAUAAAUUCACCAUACUUCCUCUAUAAAAUGAAAAAAAAAAUGAAUUUAAAAGAUCAAAUAUAAAGCUUUUUUGAUGAAUUUCCAGGAUAAACAGUAAAUAUUUGACAUGUGUUUACAAUAAAACCUUUGUGAGAAGAGCAGCCAGGCUACUAAUUUAGAUCCUGUAUUUCUGGACCAUCAGCUAAGCAUUUGAUUUCCUGAAUCUCAAUGUAUGGAUAACGCAUGUUUUUUCAUAUUAUAACAUCUGCAG